GGGCGAUGGCGUUGAGUUUCUGGGGAGAAAAGGCCUCGCCUCAGCCCGGCUUCCUUUACUGCCCCGCUCCACCCCCCACCCCUUUAUGAAACCGAGUUGUCUUCUUGUUUGGGGCUUAUGUAUUCUGGCCGUGAACCUCUUGUCAGAGAGAUGACUUGCAAAUAUUCUCUUAUUCCAUCGAUCGGCUUUUCAUUUUGUUGAUUUUUCGAGGACAGUUAACAGAUUUGGUCUAACUUUUCCAACCCUGAGAAUCAUUGGGCUUUUGUUCAAAAAUACAUAUAUUCCCAAGCCCUUACUGAAAAUUCUGAUUCAGGAGAUAAAAAUCAGGAACCAUGAAUCUGUUUUGGUUUUGUUUUUGCCUUGUGGUGCUUGCUUGCGGGGUCUUAGUUCCCCUACCAGGGAGGGAACCCCCUCCCGCUUACAGUGGAAGCUCAGUCUUAACCACUGGACCGCCGGGGAAGUCCCUGAAUCUGUAUUUUUACUAGGAACCUCGGGGGAUUCUCGAAUCUAGAAAGUUUGGAACAUUCUAGAUUCUGCUCUAAUAGUGUUUUUCAGCUGGAGCUGAACAGGAGAAUCAGACCUUUAGCAAGACUAAGGCCUCCUUCCUAUUUGCAGAGUUUUGGAAUUAAUUGGCAAUAAUUAGUUCUCAAUAGAGACCUGCUGGGAUUUUAAGUAUCUCCAGGAGACACUGAUGCCGAGCCCUGGGAGGACCUCGUCCAUCUGCACCUGGCCCAGGGACCCCAGCUCCUGGCACAGUCUGGCUCAGGGUGGGUCUCCUGUAGCCUCACUGCCUUGUUUGAUGCUUCCAUUUCUGAUAUUGGACAGUGGUUCUGUUCCAGGGAGGUCGAGAGCUUUACAGAGAAACCUGACAUUUGUGGUCAGAAUUCCCCGUGAUGGCAUGGGAAAGUUGGAAAAAAAUGGAUUGUAGGUUUACUUCAUAGGGGAUCCAGUCAAGGUCUGCCUUUGGUGGCCAGCUCUGAAUGCUUCCUUCUGCAGAGAAAAGUGGCACCGCAGAUGGGAGUAUUUGCUGCCAGAAUUGCUCCAAAGAAUGAGACUUUAUCACUGUGUGGUCUUUCCUCUACAGUGGUCCUAACACAGCCGCACUUGCCAUCGCCCUGGGCCCUGGGAAGCAGACUCUCUAUUCAGAAGGAAUUUUCUCAAAGUCUCUUAGGAUCCAUCUCCCAUGAUUCAAGAAGUGUAACCUGCCCGCUGAGAAUCUCCCCUGGACAGGAAUUUGCCAGCCAUGGGAUGGGGCCAUCUUGGAAGUGGAUCCUUCAGCCUUAGUCCAGCUGACAUCUAGUGGAGCAGAGAUGAAUUGUCCCCACCGGGCUCUGGCCAAAUGAUAGAUUGGUUGCUUCUGGAAUUGUGACCUUCAUGCUGCAGAAGCGCUCUGAGGUCUCCAAGAGCUGUGGUCACACCAGCGCAGGGCACGUCCCUCAGGGAGCAUGGCCGUCUGCAGUUGGAUUUGGAGAGAUAAUCAAUGCUUUGUUUUGCUGCCUGAAAUAAAUGACACAAAAUUAACCUGAAUGCCAGGAUCAGGUAAUACACAUAUUAACCUGUCUGUCAGUCUGAUCACUCACCUAGAGCCAGACAUCCUGGAAUGCAAAGUCAAGUGGGCCUUAGGAAGCAUCACUAUGAACAAAGGUAGUAGAAGUGAUGGAAUUCCAGGUGAGCUUUUUCAAAUCCUAAAAGAUGAUGCUGUGAGAGUGUUGCACUCAAUAUGGCAGCAAAUUUGGAAAACUCAGCAGUGCCCCCAGGACUGGAAAUGGUCAGUUUUCAUUCCAAUCCCGAAGAAAGGCAAUGCCAAAGAAUGUUCAAACUACUGCACAAUUGUACUCAUCUCACACACUAGCAAAAUAAUGCUCAAAAUUCUCCAAGCCAGGCUUCAACAAUACAUGAAUCAUGAACUUCCAGAUGUUCAAGAUAUAUUUAGAAAAGGCAGAGGAACCAGAGAUCAAAUUGCCAACAUCUAUUGGAUCAUCGAAAAAGCAAGACAGUUCCAGAAAAACAUCUACUUCUGCUUUAUUGACUAUGCCAAAGUCUGACUGUAUGGAUCACAACAAACUUUGGACAAUUCUUACAGAGAUGGGAAUACCAGACCACCUGACCUGCCUCCUGAAAAGUCUGUAUGCAGGUCAAGAAGCAACAGUUAGAACUGGACAUGGAACAACAGACUGGUUCCAAAUAGGAAAAGGAAUACGUCAAGGCUGUAUAUUGUCACCCUGCUUAUUUAACUUAUAUGUAGAGUACGUCAUGCAAAAUGCCAGGCUGGUUGAAGCACAAGCUGGAAUUAAGAUUGCUGGGAGAAUAUCGAUAACCUCAGAUAUGCAGAUGACACCACCCUUAUGGCAGAAAGUGAAGAAGAAUUAAAGAGCCUCUGGAUGAAAGGGAAAAAGGAGAGUGAAAAAGUUGGCUUAAAACUCAACAUUCAAAAAAUGAAGAUCAUGGUAUCUGGUCCCAUCACUUCAUGGCAAAUAGAUGGGAAAACAAUGGAAACAGUGACAGACUUUAUUUUUCUGGGCUCCAAAAUCCCUGCAGAUGGUGACUGCAGCCAUGAAAUUAAAAGACGUUUGCUCCUUGGAAGAAAUCUACGAGCAACCUAGCCAGCAUAUUAAAAAGCAGAGACAUUACUUUGCCAACAAAGGUUUGUCUAGUCAAAGCUAUGGUUUUUCUAGUGGUCAUGUAUGGAUGUGAGAGUUGGACUAUAAAGAAGGCUGAGUGCCAAAGAAUUGAUGCAUUUGAACUGUGGUGUUGGAGAAGACUCUUGAGAGUCCCUUGGACUGCAAGGAGAUCCAACCAGUCCAUCCUAAAGGAGAUUCGUCCUGAGUGUUCAUUGGAAGGACUGUUGCUGAAGCUGAAACUCCAGUACUUUGGCCACCUCAUGCAGAGUUGACUCAUUAGAAAAGACUCUGAUGCUGGAAAGAUUGAAGGCAGGAGGAGAAGGGGAUGACAGAGGAUGAGAUGGUUGGAUGGCAUUACUGACUUGAUGGAUAUGAGUUUGAGCAAGCUCUAGGAGUUGAUGAUGGACAGGGAAGUCUGGUAUGCUGCAGUCCGUGGGGCCGCAAAGAGUCUGACACAGCUGAGUGACUGGACUGGACUGAUAAGUCCUCUGAGUCAUCUGUAAUGACCCCCAGAGUGGACCUUUGCUCUCCCGAUUGUUCAGCCAUGCUGCCUACUGUCACUUGUAUCUGAAACCCCUGAGACUGACAGCUUCCUUCCGGCUGUACAGAAGGCAUAGUGUGUGCAGUGCAAUACAGCCAUGUAUCC
ensembl:lncRNA